UACGAAGGGUGCAAGCGUUAAUCGGAAUUACUGGGCGUAAAGCGCGCGUAGGUGGUUCAGUAAGUUGGAUGUGAAAUCCCCGGGCUCAACCUGGGAACUGCAUCCAAAACUGCUGAGCUAGAGUACGGUAGAGGGUGGUGGAAUUUCCUGUGUAGCGGUGAAAUGCGUAGAUAUAGGAAGGAACACCAGUGGCAAAGGCGACCACCUGGACUGAUACUGACACUGAGGUGCGAAAGCGUGGGGAGCAAACAGG
rnacentral:rRNA from 1 species